rnacentral:rRNA from 1 species
UACGUAGGGGGCAAGCGUUAAUCGGAAUUACUGGGCGUAAAGCGUACGCAGGCGGCUAUGUAAGACAGGUGUGAAAUCCCCGGGCCUAACCUGGGAACUGCAUUUGUGACUGCAUAGCUAGAGUCCGUCAGAGGGGGGUGGAAUUCCACGUGUAGCAGUGAAAUGCGUAGAGAUGUGGAGGAACACCGAUGGCGAAGGCAGCCCCCUGGGAUGAGACUGACGCUCAUGUACGAAAGCGUGGGGAGCAAACAGG